AUGGGGGGGGGGGGGAGGAGGGACUCUUCAACCCACCGCACUCUCUUCCUGUUGCAGUUCCUGUUUGUGAUUAUCACGUGUCUGUGUCAGGUGAUGGUCCUGUCCCUAAGAGUGAGGCUAUCUUCAUUCUGGACCAUCAGCCACUGGUGCCAAGCCCCUCAAGCAAGAACUCCAAGCACAUAUCCAUUAGGGAUCCAGAUGGCUGAGGUUACUGGCCUCGUCCGGGCUCUGUGUGGACAACAAGUGACCACGAGCGUCCUGAUUUCCGACCACAUAAAACAGAAGUCCCAAACUCAGCGUGUCGGCCGGGCUGUGCUCCUUCUGGACACUGUAAGAAGAAUCUGUUCUGUCUUUUUCUGCAUCUGGAGGUGCCUUCAUCCCUGGGUUUAUGACCUCUGCCUCCAUCUUCAAAGUGGGCAGGGACGCAGCCUCAACCCCCUCCCUCUUCCUUCUUUCAAGGGCCCUGUGGUGAUGCUGUGCUUGCUCAGAUGACCCAAGACAAUCUCCCUGUUUUAAAAUUUGUAACCCAAUUGCACCUGCCACGUCCCUUCUGCUAUGUAAGGUCACAUACUGGCAGGUUCCAGGGAUUCAAACGGAGAUGUCCUUUGGGGCCAUUAUUCUGACGACCAUAGACGUCUGGGACGACCCUCCCCACCCCGCACUCGGCUACCUCCACCCAGAUCCUUGCCUCAGGCUCUGCCUCUGGAGGACUCAAACCCACCAGAUGCACGCUGCCCCUCGGCCCUUGCAGCUUCCUUGUCCUGUCCUAUAGGGAACCCAUGUGGGAUGUCUGUGUGGCACCUGACCUCAUGCUGCCGCCAUGCCCACCUGCAUCCUAGCGCACCCCCAUCAGCCGGUGUUCCCGGUGGCCCUGGAGUUUCCCCUCUGGAAGAGCAAGUUUUGUCUCCAAGUUGAUCCUGACGGCCUAUUCACCUUACAGGAAAGACCCCAAAUGAGGAAACAUUGGCUGCUUUCCCUGAACCUCCCAGCGCCCCUCUGCCUACUGUAGCUGGGAUCCCCAGGCUGCCAGGGUGCCUGAGACUGAGCGGACACCCUGCUCAGCUGAGGUGACCAGGCCACAGGACAGCGGGGCCUCUCUUGGUAGAGGGAAGAUUUUUUCCUACACUCCUGGGCCUGGGAGUUGAAUCUGGCUGCCCCAGUACAAAACCCAGCUCUUCCACUCCCUAGCUGGGUGACACUGGGCCAAUCAUUUCAUUUCCCUAAGCCUGCACUUUCCCAUCUGAGAAAUGGGACAGUAUUUACCUAGUCCAGGGAUGGUGCCGCAGAAGCCAAAGCUGCACUUGAGGAGAAGGCAGCGGCGGGAUUGGCCACAGCUCCACCAAGUCUGGACUUUAUCUUGAAAGUCCCUUGAGGCUUUCAUGACAUUGCUCAACUGGAG
rnacentral:lncRNA from 1 species